UCCCUGGUGGCUCAGACAGUAAAGCAUCUGUUUACAAUGCAGGAGACCCAGGUUCGAUCCCUGGGUCGGGAA
rnacentral:tRNA from 1 species